rnacentral:rRNA from 1 species
UACGUAGGGUGCGAGCGUUAAUCGGAAUUACUGGGCGUAAAGCGUGCGCAGGCGGUUGGCCGUGUCUUGUGUGAAAGCCCCCGGGCUUAACCUGGGAACUGCAUGGGAAACUGGCUGGCUUGAGUGUGGCAGAGGGGGGUGGAAUUCCGCGUGUAGCAGUGAAAUGCGUAGAUAUGCGGAGGAACACCGAUGGCGAAGGCAGCUGCCUGGCCUAGAACUGACGCUGAGGUGCGAAAGCGUGGGGAGCGAACAGG